UCCGUAGGUGAACCUGCGGAAGGAUCAUUAGUGAAUUAAACAUGCUUGGUGUCUUCGCUUCGGCAAGGCCCUUGCUUAAAUCACAUCCUAACACCUGUGAACUGUAAGACGUAUGAUGAGGUCUUUGGCCAAGUCAUCGUCUGCCCAUUUUUAACAAACAAUUAAUGUAACAAACGUAGUCUUAUUAUAACCUAAUAAAACUUUCAACAACGGAUCUCUUGGCUCUCGCAUCGAUGAAGAACGCAGCGAAAUGCGAUAAGUAAUGUGAAUUGCAGAAUUCAGUGAAUCAUCGAAUCUUUGAACGCACCUUGCGCUCUUUGGUAUUCCGAAGAGCAUGCCUGUUUGAGUGUCAUGAAAAUAUCAACCUUGACUUGGGUUUUGUGCUCUAGUCUUGGCUUGGAAUUGGGUGCUUGCCGCUUUUACGAGCGGCUCACCUUAAAUGUAUUAGCUGGAUCUGUCUUUGAGACUUGGUUUGACUUGGCGUAAUAAGUAUUUCGCUAAGGACAUUCUUCGGAGUGGCCUCGUUUCUAAGACGCUUGUCCGCUUCCCAAUACAAGUUCCACCUCGUGGACAUGACUUUUUAUUAUCUGGCCUCAAAUCAGGUAGGACUACCCGCUGAACUUAAGCAUA
rnacentral:rRNA from 1 species